AAGAGCUUUCUGUGAAGCCGGGCUGUAAGGCAUCCGGUGGAGAGAUCAGAAGCGAGAAUGUUGACAUGAGUAGCGACAAACAGGGUGAGAAACCCUGUCGCCGAAAGUCUAAGGGUUCCUGCUUAAAGCUAAUCUGAGCAGGGUAAGCCGGCCCCUAAGGCGAGGCCGAAAGGCGUAGUCGAUGGGAACCAGGUUAAUAUUCCUGGGCCAGUGGGAUGUGACGGAUCGCAGAUGUAGUUUGCCCUUAUCGGAUUGGGUGGGCUGCUGAGCGGUUCCUGGAAAUAGCCCCACAUCAGACCGUACCCUAAACCGACACAGGUGGACUGGUAGAGUAUACCAAGGCGCUUGAGAGAACCACGUUAAAAGGAACUCGGCAAAAUGCCUCCGUAAGUUCGCGAGAAGGAGGCCCCGUCUGUAGGCAACUAUGGGCGGGGGGCACAAACUAGGGGGUGGCGACUGUUUACUUAAAACACAGGGCUGUACGAAGCCGUAAGGCGACGUAUACAGUCUGACGCCUGCCCGGUGCUGGAAGAUUAAGAGGAGGGGUGCAAGCUCUGAAUUGAAGUCCCAGUAAACGGCGGCCGUAACUAUAACGGUCCUAAGGUAGCGAAAUUCCUUGUCGGGUAAGUUCCGACCUGCACGAAUGGCGUAACGAUCUCCCCGCUGUCUCUAACGUGGACUCAGCGAAAUUGAACUGUGUGUCAAGAUGCACACUACCCGCGGUUAGACGGAAAGACCCCAUGAACCUUUACUCCAGCUUUGCACUGGUAUCAGGAUUGUGAUGUGCAGGAUAGGUGGUAGGCAUUGAAUCGGGGACGCCAGUCUUCGUGGAGCCUCCCUUGAGAUACCACCCUUCGCCAUCUUGAUAUCUAACCGCGGCCCGUUAUCCGGGUCCGGGACCCUGCAUGGUGGGGAGUUUGACUGGGGCGGUCGCCUCCCAAACAGUAACGGAGGCGCGCGAUGGUUGGCUCAGACCGGUCGGAAAUCGGUCGUUGAGUGCAAUGGCAGAAGCCAGCCUGACUGCAAGACUGACAAGUCGAGCAGAGACGAAAGUCGGUCAUAGUGAUCCGGUGGUCCCAAGUGGGAGGGCCAUCGCUCAACGGAUAAAAGGUACUCUGGGGAUAACAGGCUGAUGAUGCCCAAGAGUCCAUAUCGACGGCAUCGUUUGGCACCUCGAUGUCGGCUCAUCUCAUCCUGGGGCUGGAGCAGGUCCCAAGGGUAUGGCUGUUCGCCAUUUAAAGAGGUACGUGAGCUGGGUUUAGAACGUCGUGAGACAGUUCGGUCCCUAUCUGCCGUGGGUGCAGGAGACUUGAGAAGAGUUGACCCUAGUACGAGAGGACCGGGUUGAACGAACCACUGGUGGACCAGUUAUCGUGCCAACGGUAGUGCUGGGUAGCUAUGUUCGGACAGGAUAACCGCUGGAGGCAUCUAAGCGGGAAGCCCCCUUCAAAACAAGGUCUCCCUUGAGGGCCGUGGAAGACGACCACGUCGAUAGGCCAGAGGUGUAAGUGCAGCAAUGCAUUCAGCUGACUGGUACUAAUUGCCC
rnacentral:rRNA from 1 species